UCAGUUCAGUUGUUUUAAAAAUGAAGAGCAGACAAACAUUUGUGUCAUUUAUACUCUGGGAGAGAACUGUACGCCUUGACUCUCAAAGUCAUUGUCUGUCAUUAGUACAGAUGUUGCUUCUGGUAUUUAUUAUAUUUACUCUACUAAAAGAGACUGCUGGUGAAGAUGUCAUAAAACCAGUCGUCACAGAGAAGCAUGUUUUGGAAGGAAAAGCUGUUACACUGAUCUGCAAAUACACUGGAAUUGUCAACAAUUUACAAUGGUAUCGUCAGUAUCCUGGAUCCAAACCUGAGAACCUCAUCACGUUCUUUGAAACCAAACCUGACUCAAAACCCACUCUCCGUCUGAACGCUGCGGCUGAUAAAACAGCCAAAAGUAUGAAUUUGACAGUCUCUUCUACAGAAGUGACGGACACUACCAUGUACUACUGUGCCCUGCAGCCCACAGUGACAGGAAACACAACUACACUGUACAAAAACUGA